rnacentral:rRNA from 1 species
AUUGAACGCUGGCGGCAGGCCUAACACAUGCAAGUCGAACGAGUGGCGGACGGGUGAGUAAUGUCUGGGAAACUGCCUGAUGGCGGGGGAUAACUACUGGAAAAGGUAGCUAAUACCGCAUACCAUCGGAUGUGCCCAGAUUGGAUUAGCUAGUAGGUGGGGUAACGGCUCACCUAGGCGACGAUCCCUAGCUGGUCUGAGAGGAUGCCAAGCCACACUGGAACGGAGACACGGUCCAGACUCCUACGGGAGGCAGCAGUGGAGAAUAUUUCACAAUGGGCGCAAGCAUGAUGCAGCCAUGCCGCGUGUAUGAAGAAGGCCUUCGGGUUGGAAAGUACUUUCAGCGGGGAGGAGUUACCCGCAGAAGAAGCACCGGCUAACUCCGUGCGAGCCGCCGCGGUAAUUC